AGUGAACGCUGGCGGCGUGCUUAACACAUGCAAGUCGAACGAGAACGGAUUAUAGCUUGCUAUAAUUGUCAGCUAAGUGGCGCACGGGUGAGUAAUGUAUAGGUAAUAUGCCUCUUACUAAGGGAUAACAAAUGGAAACGUUUGCUAAUACCUUAUACUCCUUAUUAACAGAAGUUAAUAAGGGAAAGAUUUAUUGGUAAGAGAUUAGCCUGUAUUGUAUCAGUUAGUUGGUGGGGUAAUGGCUUACCAAGACUAUGACACAUAACUGGUUUGAGAGGAUGAUCAGUCACACUGGAACUGAGACACGGUCCAGACUCCUACGGGAGGCAGCAGUGGGGAAUAUUGGACAAUGGGGGAAACCCUGAUCCAGCUACGCCGCGUGGGUGAUGAAGGCCUUCGGUUGUAAAGCCCUGUCGAGGGGGACGGAAGGUUACUGACGGUACCCCGUCAACGAAAGACACCGGCUAACUCCGUGCCAGCAGCCGCGGUAA
rnacentral:rRNA from 1 species